UAGGGGCUGCCUGUCAGGAGGCUUUCUUUCUGAUCUCUCAGCCCUGCCUCCAAAGGUGCCUGCAUGAUGAGGGCUUUCAGCAAGCCUGCCUCUACUGCCCAGCUGGGAGGUCUUUGCUGGCUGUGUUCUCCUGGGAGGCCUCUCCCCACCACAAACAGAUGGGCGCUGAUGUCAGCAGCAGGCACCAUUGCUGUCAGCACUAAUGGGUUACACCCAAGAGCCAAUGGAAAGCUGUGUGGCCUCCUCUGGGCCUCACCCCAAAGGGGAGGCUAGGCCAAAGGCCCCUGUUGAGUUCCUGGUGUAAGUGGCAAGUUCGUGGUGACCCAAGGCUCAAACCUGGAGUCUCUAUGGUAAAGGAAUUGGAAAGCCUUCUCACAGGGUAUCGUGUGCAGAGAAAAAAAAGACGCGCCAUGGUUUCUACUUCCCAGAUGAAGAAACUGAGAUCUUUAAGCCCAAGAAAGGCCAUGAAGAUUGAGUAUAGAACUCCUUCAAGAGCACAUUUGUUUCUGUGCAUGUGCAGAGUGUGACACAGGGGAAACUAGGAAUCACCAGACAGAUGCAGAAAGGACUGACUCCUGGGGCUGCUGACCACUGUGCAUGCACGUGUGCAUGCAUGUGUGUGCACCUGUCUCCCAAAUCAGGGAAGGAAGAGCCAGGCAGGUGCCCUUUGGGGUAAAGUUGAAACAUGGCUCAAGAGUUGAUGUGGACCCAAUCCCGUCUGACUUUGUAAGACAGGCACAUGCAUUUGUGGGCCACAGCUCACAAGCAGAGGUCAGAAGACAACUUCCAGGGGACAGUCUUUUCCUUCCACCAUGUGUGUCCUAGGGAUGACGAUGAUGGUUCCGAGCUGCCAUGUGGGUGCUGGGAACCAAACCCGGGUCGUCUGCAAGUACAACAGAGAAAAAUCAUGAAGAUGUCAUAAGCGUCUAUCUUGUCCUGGACUGAAACUUGGCUCAUCCUGUUUCGAGAAUUCAUGGAACUUUCCUGUCUAGCCAUCCCAAAGCCCUUUCAUGUGACUGGCAAGGUAGCAUUCAGGCAAGCAUGCAAAAGAUUAGCUCUGAGAAUAGAGGUGUCAAGCAAAGUAUAAUUAAUGCAUUAAAUGAGGCCAGGGCUAAGAAUCGUGUCUGAAACUGUGUUCACACAAUGGCAAGGAGGGGAACAAUGUGUGGUCGCUGUCGCCAUUAAUAGCUCACCGAUUGUCAAUGCAUAAUUGCAGCUGACCUGCUCCACUGAAACCUCAGCUGUGGUGUGUGUGUGUGUGUGUGUGUGUGUGUGUGUGUGUACAUGUGCAAGUC